GGGUCAAGGAAGUGGAAGCGGCCAGGGUCAAGGAAGGGGGAGCGGUCAUGGCCAGGGUCAGGGAAGUGGAAGCGGCCAGGGAAGCGGCUAUGGCGAGGGAAGCGGUCAUGGUCAGGGGAGCGGCCAGGGUCAAGGAAGUGGAAGCGGCCAGGGUCAAGGAAGGGGGAGCGGUCAUGGCCAGGGUCAGGGAAGUGGAAGCGGCCAGGGAAGCGGCUAUGGCGAGGGAAGCGGUCAUGGUCAGGGAAGCGGCUAUGGCGAGGGAAGCGGUCACGGAAGCGGUUAUGGUCAGGGGAGCGGCCAGGGUCAGGGAAGUGGGAGCGGCUAUGGCGAGGGAAGCGGUCAUGGUCAAGGAAGUGGAAGCGGCCAGGGGAGCGGCUAUGGCGAGGGAAGCGGUCAUGGUCAGGGAAGUGG
rnacentral:lncRNA from 1 species